rnacentral:other from 1 species
AUUUCCCUGCAGUGUUGGUGAUGAAUAGGCUGUUUUGAGCUUACAAGCACAAUUUUGGGAAUCUACGUUCUACAUGACCUUGGUUAUGUAGACAAGGUGCCCACUUAGAAAUUAGUGCUUUAAACGUCUUAUUCACACGGCACCUGCGGGGUUUUU